CCUACGGGUGGCAGCAGUCGAGAAUUUUUCUCAAUGGGGGAAACCCUGAAGGAGCGACGCCGCGUGGGGGAUGAAGGACUUCGGUUCGUAAACCCCUGUCACUUGGGAACAAAAGCUGCAACUUAACACGUUGCAGCCUGAUAGUACCAGGAGAGGAAGGCACGGCUAACUCUGUGCCAGCAGCCGCGGUAAUACAGAGGUGCCAAGCGUUGUUCGGAUUUAUUGGGCGUAAAGGGUGCGUAGGCGGUCAUGAAAGUCGGGUGUGAAAUACCGGAGCCUAACUCCGGAACGGCAUUCGAAACUCCAUGGCUAGAGAUCUGGAGAGGUAACUGGAAUUCUCGGUGUAGCAGUGAAAUGCGUAGAUAUCGAGAGGAACACCAGAGGCGAAAGCGAGUUACUGGACAGAAUCUGACGCUGCAGCACGAAAGCUAGGGGAGCAAACGGGAUUAGAUACCCGGGUAGUC
rnacentral:misc_RNA from 1 species